AGAGUUUGAUCCUGGCUCAGGACGAACGCUGGCGGCGUGCCUAAUACAUGCAAGUCGAGCGCUAGGCAUUCCUUCGGGAAUGCUUGGAGCGGCGGACGGGUGAGUAACACGUGGGCAAUCUGCCUGUCAGACUGGAAUAACGCCUGGAAACGGGUGCUAAUGCCGGAUAGACAAUUUGGAGGCAUCUCCGAAUUGGGAAA
rnacentral:rRNA from 1 species